rnacentral:ncRNA from 1 species
CAACCUCAACUCAUAUGGGACUACCCCCUGAAUUUAAGCAUAUUAAUUAGGGGAGGAAAAGAAACUAACAAGGAUUUUCUUAGUAGCGGCGAGCGAAAAGAAAUCAGUUCAGCACUAAGUCACUUUGUCUAUAUGGCAAAUGUGAGAUGCAGUGUAUGGAGCGUCAAUAUUCUAGUAUGAGAAAUUAACGAUUUAAGUCCUUCUUAAAUGAGGCCAUUUACCCAUAGAGGGUGCCAGGCCCGUAAAACGUUAAUGAUUACUAGAUGAUGUUUCCAAAGAGUCGUGUUGCUUGAUAGUGCACCACUAAGUGGGUGGUAAACUCCAUCUAAAACUAAAUAUAACCAUGAGACCGAUAGUAAACAAGUACCGUGAGGGAAAGUUGAAAAGAACUCUGAAUAGAAAGUUAAAUAAUACGUGAAACUGCUUAAAGGUUAAGCCCGAUGAACCUGAAUAUCCGUUAUGGAAAAUUCAUCAUUAAAGUUAUAAUAUUUAAACAAUAUUAUACAAAUAAUGUGCAUUUUUUCCAUAUAAUGACAUUGUAAUCUAUUAACAUAUUAAAUUUAUCAUAAAAUAUGGCUUAUAGUUUAUUCAAAUUAUUAUGCUUGCAUUUCAGCAUAAAAGAAAUGUCAUUAAUUUGAUAAAGCGUUGAUAGACUAAUAAUAAUACAGUGCGUUAAUUUUUCGGAAUUAUAUCAUGGCGUAAUUAUCAUUGAUUUUUGUGUUUAUUAUAAGCACUUGUAUGAUUAACAUUGCGAAAGAUUCACGAUACCUUCCGGGACCCGUCUUGAAACUCGGACCCAGGGAGUCUAACAUAUGUGCCAC